AAUCCAUGCAUCCCGCAGUUCCAAAUUAAAUCUUUAAUUCAUUCCCAAGCUUCAUAUAAUGUUUCAUUCUCUAACUGCUAAAAAGAUGUGAUGUCAUUUCUAAUCUU
rfam:Gossypium raimondii chromosome 2, whole genome shotgun sequence.